rnacentral:rRNA from 1 species
GUUAACGAGGCGAACCGGGGGAACUGAAACAUCUAAGUACCCCGAGGAAAAGAAAUCAACCGAGAUUCCCCCAGUAGCGGCGAGCGAACGGGGAGCAGCCCAGAGUCUGAAUCAGCUUGUGUGUUAGUGGAACGGUCUGGAAAGUCCGACGGUACAGGGUGAUAGUCCCGUACACCAAAAUGCACAGGCUGUGAACUCGAAGAGUAGGGCGGGACACGUGGUAUCCUGUCUGAAUAUGGGGGGACCAUCCUCCAAGGCUAAAUACUCCUGACUGACCGAUAGUGAACCAGUACCGUGAGGGAAAGGCGAAAAGAACCCCGGCGAGGGGAGUGAAAAAGAACCUGAAACCGUGUACGUACAAGCAGUGGGAGCACCUUUAGGUGUGACUGCGUACCUUUUGUAUAAUGGGUCAGCGACUUAUAUUCUGUAGCAAGGUUAACCGUAUAGGGGAGCCGCAGGGAAACCGAGUCUUAACUGGGCGUUAAGUUGCAGGGUAUAGACCCGAAACCCGGUGAUCUAGCCAUGGGCAGGUUGAAGGUUGGGUAACACUAACUGGAGGACCGAACCGACUAAUGUUGAAAAAUUAGCGGAUGACUUGUGGCUGGGGGUGAAAGGCCAAUCAAACCGGGAGAUAGCUGGUUCUCCCCGAAAGCUAUUUAGGUAGCGCCUCGUGAACUCAUCUUCGGGGGUAGAGCACUGUUUCGGCUAGGGGGUCAUCCCGACUUACCAACCCGAUGCAAACUACGAAUACCGAAGAAUGUUAUCACGGGAGACACACGGCGGGUGCUAACGUCCGUCGUGAAGAGGGAAACAACCCAGACCGCCAGCUAAGGUCCCAAAGUCAUGGUUAAGUGGGAAACGAUGUGGGAAGGCACAGACAGCCAGGAUGUUGGCUUAGAAGCAGCCAUCAUUUAAAGAAAGCGUAAUAGCUCACUGGUCGAGUCGGCCUGCGCGGAAGAUGUAACGGGGCUAAACCAUGCACCGAAGCUGCGGCAGCGACACGAUGUGUUGUUGGGUAGGGGAGCGUUCUGUAAGCCUGCGAAGGUGACCUGUGAGGGUUGCUGGAGGUAUCAGAAGUGCGAAUGCUGACAUAAGUAACGAUAAAGCGGGUGAAAAGCCCGCUCGCCGGAAGACCAAGGGUUCCUGUCCAACGUUAAUCGGGGCAGGGUGAGUCGACCCCUAAGGCGAGGCCGAAAGGCGUAGUCGAUGGGAAACAGGUUAAUAUUCCUGUACUUGGUGUUACUGCGAAGGGGGGACGGAGAAGGCUAUGUUAGCCGGGCGACGGUUGUCCCGGUUUAAGCAUGUAGGCUGGUUAUCCAGGCAAAUCCGGAUAAUCAAGGCUGAGGUGUGAUGACGAGGCACUACGGUGCUGAAGUAACAAAUGCCCUGCUUCCAGGAAAAGCCUCUAAGCAUCAGGUAACAUCAAAUCGUACCCCAAACCGACACAGGUGGUCAGGUAGAGAAUACCAAGGCGCUUGAGAGAACUCGGGUGAAGGAACUAGGCAAAAUGGUGCCGUAACUUCGGGAGAAGGCACGCUGGUGUGUAGGUGAAGCCCCUGCGGGUGGAGCUGAGACCAGUCGAAGAUACCAGCUGGCUGCAACUGUUUAUUAAAAACACAGCACUGUGCAAACACGAAAGUGGACGUAUACGGUGUGACGCCUGCCCGGUGCCGGAAGGUUAAUUGAUGGGGUUAUCCGUAAGGAGAAGCUCUUGAUCGAAGCCCCGGUAAACGGCGGCCGUAACUAUAACGGUCCUAAGGUAGCGAAAUUCCUUGUCGGGUAAGUUCCGACCUGCACGAAUGGCGUAAUGAUGGCCAGGCUGUCUCCACCCGAGACUCAGUGAAAUUGAACUCGCUGUGAAGAUGCAGUGUACCCGCGGCAAGACGGAAAGACCCCGUGAACCUUUACUAUAGCUUGACACUGAACAUUGAGCCUUGAUGUGUAGGAUAGGUGGGAGGCUUUGAAGCGUGGACGCCAGUCUGCGUGGAGCCAACCUUGAAAUACCACCCUUUAAUGUUUGAUGUUCUAACGUUGGCCCCUUAUCGGGGUUGCGGACAGUGUCUGGUGGGUAGUUUGACUGGGGCGGUCUCCUCCCAAAGCGUAACGGAGGAGCACGAAGGUUAGCUAAUCCUGGUCGGACAUCAGGAGGUUAGUGCAAUGGCAUAAGCUAGCUUGACUGCGAGCGUGACGGCGCGAGCAGGUGCGAAAGCAGGUCAUAGUGAUCCGGUGGUUCUGAAUGGAAGGGCCAUCGCUCAACGGAUAAAAGGUACUCCGGGGAUAACAGGCUGAUACCGCCCAAGAGUUCAUAUCGACGGCGGUGUUUGGCACCUCGAUGUCGGCUCAUCACAUCCUGGGGCUGAAGUAGGUCCCAAGGGUAUGGCUGUUCGCCAUUUAAAGUGGUACGCGAGCUGGGUUUAGAACGUCGUGAGACAGUUCGGUCCCUAUCUGCCGUGGGCGCUGGAGAAUUGAGGGGGGCUGCUCCUAGUACGAGAGGACCGGAGUGGACGCAUCACUGGUGUUCGGGUUGUCAUGCCAAUGGCACUGCCCGGUAGCUAAAUGCGGAAGAGAUAAGUGCUGAAAGCAUCUAAGCACGAAACUUGCCCCGAGAUGAGUUCUCCCUGAGACUUUAAGUCUCCUGAAGGAACGUU